UAUUAUUUCAACUGAAUUAUUUUCUUAAGCAUCGCUGAAUUCUCAGAUGCAAAUGCGCGGCAAAUUUCCAAUCUAUCACUGUCAUGACUCUAUGGUUGAGAUUCAGUAUGCCCUUCGAAGUUUAUGAUCAUCAUCUCGUAUCUAGCUACACAGAACUAUUUCGUAAUAAAUCACACGAACUAAAAUAUAUCAACUUCGAAGCUCCCUUGAGAAUUUAUGAACGUUAAUCUCAGUAAUGACCCUAAAGACUGAUUUUGAUUGACACAUCUUGCAAUGCUCAAUACGUACUUGAACAUCGGGUAGGGCGUCCAAGUGCCUCGGCUAGCCGAGUAAUCCCUUAGGCCGAGGCCGAGUAAGAUAUACGACCGCGAUAAUCUUCACUCAAGGUUCAUGAAAUCGCUGAACACGAUACAACUUUCUCGGCGAAACGGUCUUUGGGUGUCGCGUCGAGGGGAUUAAAGAAAGGUGGGCGGACAGCUGGACUAGGAUUCCAAUUUUCCGAACACACAAAGCUAAUUGAUGGCGUUGAAUUUUUGACCUUUUCAUUAUCUAUUCAUUCUGUCCUAAUAACGAUUUGGCAUUUUAGAAAGAAUUAGAAGGGAAUUUUGAUACAACGAAAUUUAAUGCUUUGUACCUUAUUUAGGCGACUCAGUAAAAUGUUGAAUUCAUUACUUACUUAUUUUUCUUUUUUUGUAAAAAAAAAAACUUUAAUUUAAAACAAAAAGUCACUUAAGUUUAUGUAUCGGAUUUAUUAAUUGCUGUUCAAUGAGUUAGCGAUAAGAAAGUUCCAAAGAUAUUUUCGCAUUAAUCACAACCACAAACUGGUAAUGAGCCCCUCUUACUUCUUGCCUCACAAACAAUACAUUCGGAUCUGCCUCAUAACGAGUUUCUCGGGAAAAUUAUACGAUACCGCCGAUAUCGAUUCAACUGUAUCGAGUAUCAGACGAGUAUCGUUCGUGACUACUAACAGUUCACGUAUUAUAUUACACAGACGAUCAAAUAAAAUGUUUUGUGAUGUGUUGUUACUGAACCGACCAGACAGACGUACACACAUACAUAUAUCCUCUAUAAUAUAAUUAUACGGGCAUUAGUCUACAAUUCGCACGUUACACUUGAUGUUGUGGAAACGUCCAGUUUUUAUACUGUAUAAAAAACCUUAACAAUUGUUUUACUCAUAAUGAGAUGCUGUUUAUUACACUUUGACCAAUCAGAGCCGCAAUAAGGUGUUUUGUGUAGCAAAAAAAUAAUACUUCUCAACAAGUUAUUUUUAUCAAAAUUUUUCUUCAAGAACAAUUGAAUAUGACCUUCAAAAUAAUCCUAAUAGAGCAUAGAAUAUAUGAAUUUGAAAUUGUAUAAAAUAUAAAAACAGUGUAUUGUUAUUCAAUCCGAUUACAACGCGACUUCAAGGUUGCCAAUACCAUACUAGAUAAUGUAUGAAGUGGGUUAUGCGCAGGUAUGAGUGGUACUCACAGCAUACAUUUAAAUACAACAUAGGAAGUGUUUUAUAAUGUGUUCAAACAUAUCUGUCUGUCUAGGUAUUUGUAUAAAUGGUAAAAAAAAUAACGAUAAAAAACACAAAACGUAAGAAUAUACUCUCAAAAAGAUGGUAAUAAACUCUCGUCCCUGGGAAAUCAGUUGUUAAAAUUAGAGUAUUUAGGUUAGUAACAAAGUGAAAUGUGGAAUAAUAUAAAAAAAUAUAGGUCCAGACGUCAACGCAACAUGAUUUGCUAGUAGAGGCUCUUUGUUUGACAUUAUUAUGAGCCAAACGUUUCACCCAUUCCGCACUUCUUCAUACGAAUUCCACAAACUCAAAAAUGUAGAUAUGAAUUCUAUUUACUAGAAUUAAUGGGCAUCACGUGGUCAUAACUAGACGCCAUUAAUUUUGUGUGGGUGCCACGUAUUUUAUUUUAUCUACAUUAAAUAAUGUGAGAAAAACUAGAAAACAUACAGCUGAAUAUUUUUUUUAAUAGAGCAUUCUGUGAUGCUUGAUUUUUAGUUUUAUUUUAUAACAUACUUUUGUGAUGAAAAACGGUGACACACGCCUACACGAUGCUUAAACUAAAAUAUAAUUUCCAUGAAAUCUAUGUGCACUCGUGGUCACAUGGUAUCUUCAAAGACGCCUUCCAGGGAUUAGGAAAGGGACGUCUGACAUAAACAGUGUAAUACAGACACCAGCGUUUAAAGCUAUCCUAAACUGUUUGUUCAUAGAUUUUAAACUCUAUGGUUUUGAAAUAAAGUUGAAAAUCUAUUGAAGAAUUUGAUAAAGGAGUAAGUUGAUAUGCUGGCGUUUGUUUAUUCAUAACGUUUAUAUCAUAAUCUCCGUCCAAUUUAUUUACAUUAAACUUUCGUCUUACAUCUUCACGAAGAUGCAGACAUUGAAAAAUGUGGUUAAUAUUUUCUCCAGUAGAGUAAAAAAUAAAAUAAAAAUAUAGCGAGACUUGAGCCGCGCUUCCUCUUACGCCUUUCCCGGUCCGCAAUAUUUCCUAAUAACAAAAGACAGUGUGUUCAUCCCAACGUUUGCAUUUUCAUCUUAUCGUGAACCAGAAAACAAGUUAUUUCAUAGUGAAACACUGCUGCCUCAGGCAACCGUACCACAUCGCUAGCCAGGUUAUCGAACUGUGAAAUGGUCUCACAUCAUGCACGAAUGCCUUAUCCUUAUUUAAACGUACACUAUGUGAAAAACAAAAUGUUUCGCAAUAAGUCGACUUGAACCCUUUUUACCGUUGUCGGAUAACUUUAUUGAAAGUCCUUCGUUUGAAAGUCAAAUGUAUUGAGUUUCGAAAUUCACUUGCUUAAACUAUGAAGAACAUUUUGUGAGAUCUAGCAACAUUAUAACUUCUUAAAGAUUGUGAAUUUAUGUUAAUCAAGUACGCGAAUGGCUAAGAUGCUUUUAAAUUUUGAAAAUCUCUUUCAAGGGACUUUGCACGUUUCUUUUAUUAAAACUAUUCAUUUAUAAAGAUUGUGUUAUUCAAUUUGUUAUUAUCUUAGUGUAGACAAGAUUCUUGCGUGUUUGAAUAUUUCUUGUCGAUUCAUAUUAUAUUUUAAAUUACAAUACGUGAGAUGAGAAUCCUUAUAAUUCUCUACCGUAUAGAAACUAAUAUAAAAACUAUUAAUAACAUAAGAAAAAAUAUGCUAGAUUUGAGAAAAAUAAAGACAGGAAACCGGAUGAUUCUGAAUCUAAAAAUGAAGGAUGUUUUUAUUCUUCCUAAAAGUUAGAAAAGAAAAAACUUUUUAAAGUCGAAGAAAAUAUCAGUUAUUACAAUAUCCUUUUAAUAUUCCGUCUUUGUGAAAAGCGAAAAGAUAGGCCGUUAUAAUUUUACCAAAAAAAAAACUUGUACACAAAUAUAAAAAUCGAUCUUAUCGUACUUGACAUAGAUUUGAUAUUUAAUUGCUUUACUGCCAAUCCUCAAAAGUCAUUUGAAACCUCAAAAAGUUGCAUGUACUUCACAAGUGUCUCAUUAAAAAUUUAAUUUCACAUUAGCACAGUACAUAACCAUAAAUUUCUUUUAUAAUGGUUUGUCUAAAUUUCGUGUCUCUUAAAGUUAGCGCAUUUAUUGCCGUAGGACCGUAAUAAAAACAGGCGAUCACGUAGUUGGAAACGACCAUAAUCCUAAACGCCGGCCGGCCUAUGGAGACCGCUAAUCUCAACUAUUGCGACCCCUGAAAGUGUUGGGAUAUUUGCCAAAUAAUAUUGCCUAGAAAUUCAUCAAUAGUACCUACCAAGCAUGCUUGCAGUUACGUGACGGUUUGGUCAUACUAAAUUGAUUAGAAUAUAGAAAUGAUACUAUAAGAGUGUAAGACGAGUUAAUAAGAGUAUAUACAAUAGUCAAUUCCAUAAGAAAUCAUAUGCAGAUUCAACAACAGACAAUAACUCCCAAUAAUUUCAAUUUACUCGUAUCUCCCAGAAAAAAAAUGAUUUAUUUACAUUUGUUUAUUCGUCAUUUAACAAAGCAAAGCUAAAGAAGCCAUACGUUCAACGUGCUAUUUAAUUUAGUACUAUGGCUGCAAAACGUCCUCUGUUGUUUCUUUUGUUCAUUUUAACCGAUUUCCCAAUGUACUGAAUAAAUCACCGACUCUAGGGAGUGACGACACUUAACACGAAUACAUUUCCCAAUCGAAUUUAAUGUUUAAUUCAUAAAUUUACGUUUUUUGUAUGAAAAUCGCGGCUUUUCUUACGCAUAGCUGCUAUCUUAAUAAUAAAUUACAAUACUUUUCA